rnacentral:ncRNA from 1 species
AUCUUCAGGGCAGGGUGAGAUUCCCGACCGGCGGUAAAGUCCGCGAGCGCCUAAGCGCAUGAUUUGGUGAAAUUCCAAAACCGACAGUAAAGUCUGGAUGAGAGAAGAGA